rnacentral:rRNA from 1 species
CCCUACGGGAGGCAGCAGCCGCGGUAAUACGUAGGGGGCAAGCGUUAUCCGGAUUUACUGGGUGUAAAGGGAGCGUAGACGGCAUGGCAAGUCUGAAGUGAAAGCCCGGGGCUCAACCGCGGGACUGCUUUGGAAACUGUUAAGCUGGAGUGCAGGAGAGGUAAGUGGAAUUCCUAGUGUAGCGGUGAAAUGCGCAGAUAUUAGGAGGAACACCAGUGGCGAAGGCGGCUUACUGGACUGUAACUGACGUUGAGGCUCGAAAGCGUGGGGAGCAAACAGGAUUAGAAACCCCUGUAGUCCACAGA